CCUACGGGAGGCAGCAGUGGGGAAUAUUGGGCAAUGGGCGCAAGCCUGACCCAGCAACGCCGCGUGAAGGAAGAAGGCUUUCGGGUUGUAAACUUCUUUUGUCAGGGAAGAGUAGAAGACGGUACCUGACGAAUAAGCCACGGCUAACUACGUGCCAGCAGCCACGGUAAUACGUAGGUGGCAAGCGUUAUCCGGAUUUACUGGGUGUAAAGGGCGUGUAGCCGGGUUGACAAGUCAGAUGUGAAAUCCUGCGGCUUAACCGUAGAACUGCAUUUGAAACUGUUGAUCUUGAGUACUGGAGAGGCAGACGGAAUUCCUAGUGUAGCGGUGAAAUGCGUAGAUAUUAGGAGGAACACCAGUGGCGAAGGCGGUCUGCUGGACAGCAACUGACGGUGAGGCGCGAAAGCGUGGGGAGCAAACAGGAUUAGAUACCCUAGUAGUC
rnacentral:rRNA from 1 species